rnacentral:lncRNA from 1 species
UGGUGCAUAAUAUUCCAUAAGACAUGUUACUAAUGAUUUGGAACUAGUAUCUAAUCUGAACUGUAUGAUUAAUUAGUUGGGAAAUGUUAGCCAGUUUUGUAAAUUGGUCAAACUAAUAGCAGCUUGAUCCUUGAUAUGAGUAUGGCUCCAAAAAGAAAUUGAACUAAAUCUUUUGGUGGGUUAUUUUACAACCAAAUGAUGAUGAAGCAUCCUGAUUUAAAUUUGGUUACAUAAUUAUUGAUUUAAGGAGUAAUCUACCUUACCAAACAUUUGAUAUGUUAAGGUCAUAAAAUUAUGGAAGGAAAAUUCAAGCUGUCUCAAGUAUCUUGCCAGAGGAAGGUGAAAGUUACCCAGCAUCAAAUGGAGAACAGAGAAACAUCAAAAGUGAAAGAAAAAAAAAACCAAAAAAGAGGAGGAAAAUAGAGAAAUAAAUAUCUUUGAUUGACAUGGUACAAUUCCCUGAUCUUUUAAAAGGUGGGACCCUGCAAGACAAAAUUGCUGAAUCAGACUAAAGGAUGGAGGGAAGGGCUGUAUACCAGUCAUCUGCAAUCCAUUAACGGUAAUCAGUGAGUUACCUGCUGCUGCUUCCCUCUCUCUACUAGGUAGGUACUCUCUCCUUAUUCAUUCUUCAUUUAAAAGAUAAGUUCUUUUAUUAGAUUUGUGCUUUCUUUUGCUGCUAGCCCAAAACCAUUCUGAGUAAGCAAAGACCAGAAAAAGAGAGAAAAAAGUAAAGGCGCCUCAUAUAAGAGAUAAAGCAAUUUAAUUUAAUUUAGCCUCAUGCGUUUAAUGCUCAAAUUAAUCAUCUUUUUCCCCUUUUCUUGGAUUUAUUUGGGUUUGUUUUAUUUUGUUGUGUGCUCAUGCGAACAACAUUGCAG